GAUGAACGCUGGCGGCGUGCCUAAUACAUGCAAGUCGAGCGAACAGAUGAGGAGCUUGCUCCUCUGACGUUAGCGGCGGACGGGUGAGUAACACGUGGAUAACCUACCUAUAAGACUGGGAUAACUUCGGGAAACCGGAGCUAAUACCGGAUAAUAUAUUGAACCGCAUGGUUCAAUAGUGAAAGACGGUUUUGCUGUCACUUAUAGAUGGAUCCGCGCCGCAUUAGCUAGUUGGUAAGGUAACGGCUUACCAAGGCGACGAUGCGUAGCCGACCUGAGAGGGUGAAUGGGCAAACUUGAACUGAGACACGGUCCAGACUCCUACGGGAGGCAGCAGUAGGGAAUCUUCCGCAAUGGGCGAAAGCCUGACGGAGCAACGCCGCGUGAGUGAUGAAGGUCUUCGGAUCGUAAAACUCUGUUAUUAGGGAAGAACAAAUGUGUAAGUAACUAUGCACGUCUUGACGGUACCUAAUCAGAAAGCCACGGCUAACUACGUG
rnacentral:rRNA from 1 species